CCUACGGGUGGCAGCAGUGAGGAAUAUUGGUCAAUGGACGAGAGUCUGAACCAGCCAAGUAGCGUGAAGGAUGAUUGCCCUAUGGGUUUUAAACUUCUUUUAUAAAGGAAUAAAACGAGGCACGUUUGCCCUUUUGCAUGUACUUUAUGAUUAAGGAUCGGCUAACUCCGUGCCAGCGGCCGCGGUAAUACGGAGGAUCCGAGCGUUAUCCGGAUUUAUUGGGUUUAAAGGGAGCGUAGAUGGGUUGUUAAGUCAGUUGUGAAAGUUUGCGGCUCAACCGUAAAAUUGCAUUUGAUACUGGAAGUCUUGAGUACAGUUGAGGUAAGCGGAAUUCGUGGUGUAGCGGUGAAAUGCUUAGAUAUCACGAAGAACACCGAUUGCGAAGGCAGCUUACUAAACUGUGACUGACAUUGAUGCUCGAAAGUGUGGGUAUCAAACAGGAUUAGAUACCCCAGUAGUC
rnacentral:rRNA from 1 species